GGGUUUUGAGAGCUGGUGUUCUUGUUACCCAAGUCAUCAGUGGGAGUGUGUCUGAAACACUAAGAGUUGUAUCUCGUGGUUGGCCUUAGCUUAGCCACAGUAGUGUCAACAACCAUGAAGACACUACUGGAAAGCAGGUCUUCAUGAAAGACCAUCUAUGUAAGGUUGGCGCAUGUUCAUGUUUGGGGAUUGCCUUAAUUGAUGUAGGAAGACCCAACCUGAAAGUGUGUGGGUGUGUUGGGGGGGUUACCAUUCUGUAAUUUUUGACUCUGGACUGCAUAAGCAUAUAGAAAGCUAGCUGAGCACCAGGCGUCUACACAUGCAUUCCUACUUCCAGAGUGUAGAUGCAAGCUGAGCAGCCAGCUUCCUGCUUCUGCCUACAGGCUUCAUGCCCUGCCUCCGACCUGUUGUCAUGGCUUUCCCAAUGUGGUGGACUGUAUCCACCUGGAACUUUAAGCCCAGAUCAACCCCUUCCCUCUUACAUUGUUUUUGUCAGGGUAUUUUAUCCCAGCAAUGAGAAAUAAACCAACCAUCCCCUUAGUGGCCCCUGGCCUAGGUAGCAGUCUCUCCAGGGCUGCAUGUUAGCAUCCCAAGUCACCCAUGGAUAAACAUGGAAAGUGUGACAGCUUUACAAAAGAGCUUGGCAAGCCUUUCCCAUAAGGCUCCGUACACAUAGCAACUGCUCUAGCUGACUCCGGAAUGACUCUAAUAUUCUGCAGCAGUGCGAAACCUGCAGUCCUCAUGCAUAAGUCCAUGGGCUGAGUUUCUGUAAUAUGUACACACACAGGCAGAGGUCUUACUGUGAUGACCUGGGUCUACAUGGAUGACUAAUACUGAGAACUUAAGAUAUAAUCUAGAUAGUGCCCAUAUGCAAAUAUACCAAUCCUUCCACAAUCCUCAGAGAAAAUGCAUUCAUACACACUGACUGGCUACCUAUGGUUAUCAUUUGGUUAAUGGCGAAAUUAACUUUCAAGCCUAAGUAAUACACCUAGUAUCAGAGCUCUGCAAGACUGUCCACCUUUUGACUCUCUCUCUCUCUCUCUCUCUCUCUCUUUCUUGCUGUCUGUCUGUCUGUCUGUCUGUCUGUCUGUUUGCUGUCUACCUCUCUCCCUCCCCCUACAUCUCUUUCACAUACACCCACCUAUAGAAGAUGCUCUGAUCAUAGCCCUGUCUCUUCUUUGUUUUCUACAGAUAUUAGAAGACCUUCAUCUUCUUUGGGGCAUAAAGCAACAAGUGCAACUUUGUUUCUGAUUCAUCUCCCCACAUCAGCAAGAGAACAAUCAUCAGUAUUUACUAUGUACCAGGCUCUAAUCUGGGUAAUGUCUACUGUUAAAUAUCAAGUGUACACUAGCCUCAUGGGGCCUUCCAAACCCCAGGUUUCAAGCAGGGACCAGGAUCAGAGUGCAGACACGUUCAAAGUUACAUUCUUAGUAAGCCAUAGAGGUAGAGUUUCAGUCCUGGGCAGAUGCCUCUGGGUUGUAUGUUUUCCUAGACUGCCCUCUGCAGAGCGUGCCAGAGAGGAGACUGGUAGAACUCUGCUCUGGUCAGUGAGAGCUGUUGGCAUUUUUUUUUCUGUCUAAUAACUUCAUGCUUCAAUCCAAUUACUUUGGCAUCAUUAGGAUUGUGACUGCUGUUUUUGUUGGUGCCACUCAGUGCCAAUUACUUCUGUUGCUGAUAUUCAUGUUACCCAGGCAAGCCUUGCAGGCUGUACUGCUUGCUGCUAGGGACAAGCCACACUUCCCUGUGGACCUCAGUAGUUGCCAUAAGAAAAAUUACAAGGUGAUAAAAUGCCUUUGAGGUUUUAGUUUUCAGAGCUUAUUUAGAGUUAGAAUUAAUGCGCUGAGCAGGUCUGAACACAUAUGCACACAUGUGUACACAAACACAGAUGUACACACAUGCACACAAUUCACAUAUAUGCAUACUCAUGUAUACAUAUGCACA
rnacentral:lncRNA from 1 species